GGGGUUGUGGCUUAGUGAUAGAGCACUUGUUUUGCACAUGUGAGGCACUGGGUUCAAUCCUCAGCACCCCA
rnacentral:tRNA from 1 species